rnacentral:rRNA from 1 species
GACGAACGCUGGCGGCGUGCUUAACACAUGCAAGUCGAACGGAAAGGCCCUGCUUUUGUGGGGUGCUCGAGUGGCGAACGGGUGAGUAACACGUGAGUAACCUGCCCUUGACUUUGGGAUAACUUCAGGAAACUGGGGCUAAUACCGGAUAGGAGCUCCUGCUGCAUGGUGGGGGUUGGAAAGUUUCGGCGGUUGGGGAUGGACUCGCGGCUUAUCAGCUUGUUGGUGGGGUAGUGGCUUACCAAGGCUUUGACGGGUAGCCGGCCUGAGAGGGUGACCGGCCACAUUGGGCCUGAGAUACGGCCCAGACUCCUACGGGAGGCAGCAGUGGGGAAUAUUGCACAAUGGGCGGAAGCCUGAUGCAGCAACGCCGCGUGCGGGAUGACGGCCUUCGGGUUGUAAACCGCUUUCGCCUGUGACGACGCGUGAGUGACGGUAAUGGGUAAAGAAGCACCGGCUAACUACGUG